GAUGAACGCUGGCGGCGUGCUUAACACAUGCAAGUCGAGCGAGUGAGUUCUUCGGAACGAUCUAGCGGCGGACGGGUGAGUAACACGUGGGCAACCUGCCUCAUAGAGGGGAAUAGCCCCCCGAAAGGGAGAUUAAUACCGCAUAAAAUUAUCGAGUGGCAUCACACGAUAAUCAAAGGAGUAAUCCGCUAUGAGAUGGGCCCGCGGCGCAUUAGCUAGUUGGUGAGGUAACGGCUCACCAAGGCGACGAUGCGUAGCCGACCUGAGAGGGUGAUCGGCCACAUUGGGACUGAGACACGGCCCAGACUCCUACGGGAGGCAGCAGUGGGGAAUAUUGCACAAUGGGGGAAACCCUGAUGCAGCAACGCCGCGUGAGUGAUGAAGGUCUUCGGAUUGUAAAGCUCUGUCUUUGGGGACGAUAAUGACGGUACCCAAGGAGGAAGCCACGGCUAACUACGUGCCAGCAGCCGCGGUAA
rnacentral:rRNA from 1 species